GCUGGAAUAGCUCAGUUGGUUAGAGCGUGUGGCUGUUAACCACAAGGUCGGAGCCCUCCUUCUAGCG
rfam:Nicotiana attenuata strain TT chromosome 1, whole genome shotgun sequence.